CCGGGUGUAGCUCAGUUUGGUAGAGUACUUGAAUGGGGUUCAAGGGGCCGUGAGUUCGAAUCUCGCCACUCGGACCA
rnacentral:tRNA from 1 species